rnacentral:rRNA from 1 species
CCUACGGGUGGCAGCAGUGGGGAAUAUUGCACAAUGGGGGAAACCCUGAUGCAGCGACGCCGCGUGAGUGAAGAAGUAUUUCGGUAUGUAAAGCUCUAUCAGCAGGGAAGAAGAAAGACGGUACCUGACUAAGAAGCAUCGGCUAACUACGUGCCAGCAGCCGCGGCAAUACGUAGGGGGCAAGCGUUAUCCGGAUUUACUGGGUGUAAAGGGAGCGUAGGCGGUUGUGCAAGUCUGAAGUGAAAGCCCAGGGCUCAACCCCGGGACUGCAUUGGAAACUGUGGAGCUUGAGUGCAGAAGAGGUAAGUGGAACUCCUGGUGUAGCGGUGGAAUGCGUAGAUAUUAGGAAGAACACCAGUGGCGAAGGCGGCUUACUGGACUGUAACUGACGUUGAGGCUCGAAAGCGUGGGGAGCGAACAGGAUUAGAUACCCGUGUAGUC